rnacentral:rRNA from 1 species
AUUGAACGCUGGCGGCAUGCCUUACACAUGCAAGUCGAACGGUAGCACGGGAGCAAUCCUGGUGGCGAGUGGCGAACGGGUGAGUAAUAUAUCGGAACGUGCCCAGUCGUGGGGGAUAACGCAGCGAAAGCUGUGCUAAUACCGCAUACGAUCUAUGGAUGAAAGCGGGGGAUCGCAAGACCUCGCGCGAUUGGAGCGGCCGAUAUCAGAUUAGCUAGUUGGUGGGGUAAAGGCCUACCAAGGCGACGAUCUGUAGCUGGUCUUAGAGGACGAUCCGCCACACUGGAACGGAGACACGGUCCAGACUCCUACGGGAGGCAGCAGUGGGGAAUCUUGGACAAUGGGCGCAAGCCUGAUCCAGCAAUGCCGCGUGCGUGAAGAAGGCCUUCGGGUUGUAAAGCGCUUUUGUCAGGGAGCAAAUCCUUGUGGCUAAUACCCACCGGGGAUGAGAGUACCUGAAGAAUAAGGACCGGCUAACUACGUGCCAGCCGCCGCUGUAA